GCCAGUGUCAUAUCUCCCUGCAGUUCUCACCUGGUGUCUCAUUGAAGGUAAGCAGGGUUGAGUCUGGUCAGUACCUGGAUGGGAGACCUCCUGGGGGAAACUAAGGUUGCUGCUGGAA
rnacentral:rRNA from 1 species